rnacentral:rRNA from 1 species
AUGCGUUCUGAAUCAUCGUCUCAUGGGCUGGAUGAGUUCUUAGCCGAGGUUCAUAGCUUGACAACGGUGCAUCACAGAAAUCUAGUUUCUUUGGUUGGUUACUGCUGGGAGAAAGAUCAUUUAGCACUUGUUUAUGAGUACAUGCCUCGAGGCAAUCUUUGCGAUCAUCUGAGAGGAAAACAUGGUGAUGAGACCUUGGACUGGGCAAGACGUGUACGAGUUGUGCUUGAAGCUGCACAAGGCCUGGAUUAUCUGCACAAGGGAUGCAGCCUGCCAAUAAUUCACAGGGAUGUGAAGACCAGCAAUAUUCUGUUAGGUCAAAAUCUGCGGGCGAAAAUAGCUGAUUUUGGACUCUGCAAAACCUAUCUUAGCGAAACACAGACUCACAUAUCAACCAAUGCGGCUGGAUCAGCGGGUUACUUUGACCCAGAGUAUGUCCCUUUGUACUACCACACUGGCAGGCUCACUGAGAGCAGCGACGUUUACAGCUUCGGUGUUGUUCUACUGGAGAUAGCUACUGGCGAGCCUCCGAUACUGCCAGGCCAUGGCCACAUUGUUCAGCGCAUGAAACAGAAGAUGGCCACAGGUAACAUCACCUCAGUCGCCGAUGCAAGGCUUGGUGGUGCCUACGAGGUUACCUCCAUGUGGAAACUAGUCGACACUGCAAUUGCAUGUACAGCAGAUGCUGCUGUUGGAAGGCCAACAAUGGCAGCCGUGGUGGCACAGCUGAAGGAGAGCAUUGCAUUGGAAGAAGCCCGUGUGGACAGCGCUGUCAGGGUAAGCCCGGUGAGUGAUACCGUGGCCUUAGUGUCCACAUUUAUCCCAUCGGCAAGGUGA